rnacentral:pre_miRNA from 1 species
AGGACUGUCCAACCUGAGAGUGUGUCCCCGCGGUCAGUCUCAGGUUCGUCAGCCCGAG